AUCUAAUUCAGGUCAAAGAGGACAAGAGAGAGAAAGAAGAAUAGGGAAGAGGCAAGAAAGAAAAAAGAAGAAUCAAAUAACUGGGACUGAGGAAGGACCGAGAUAUGGAGGGAACGUAUGCUGGUGUCCACCUUGCAGACCUGUAUGUGUAGUGUUCCCACAACACCACUCAGAUGGAAGAAUUGCUGUUGCAGACACUCUUCACCGUUCCCAGGUUACCUUUCAGUUGUAAUGGAAGGACUGUGUGUGCUACAACUGAUGUGGAAUAUUUGUGGAAACAAAGUGCUCUGUGGCAAGCAGGAAUGAUACCCUUCUGUAAUCUGUUUAUUCACAACUGUGUUUUAAAGCUUCCCAUCAAAAUGCUGAAAGGAUGCAUGAUUUGACUACCCACUUCUAAGGUGACUUCUACCU